GCUCAUUUUUAUUUUAAGUGAAGUGUUAUCUAACGGUAUUAUAUUUGUCAAAAUAGAAAAUUAACCAACAAAAAGAAAAAUUAAAAAUGGGGUCAUCCAUGGACUGAUGAUGAAAUUAAAUCACCAUCUAGUAUAAUAAUUAAUCCAAUUAUGUGCAGCUGAGUAAAAAAUAUUUAAAAGUAUAAUAUAGCAAACUGUCAGUGAGGAUGAACAAUGAUUUAACAAGUAUGCAAAUUUAGCCCUGACUCAGAGACUGAAGCUGUCUGGUGGCUGAUAGCUUCUUAUCACUUGCUAACUGACUGUGCCUGCCUAGUGGGUCGAGUUUCUGUUCAAAUUGAGCCUGCAGAGAGAAAACAAUCAAAGAGGAGAGAGAAAACUAAAGGAGACGCUGGAGGCAGAGAGUCUCAGGCCUUCAGCAGCCCUAUGAUGACCUUGAGAGAACAGAGGCAGAUGCAAGGAAGGUUCUUUACCAACUGAGCUACCAGGGAAGCCUUCAGUCCUUGUAAGGACAAAUACAAAUUAAAAAGAAAGUACUGCAAGAAACUAGUACCCUUAACUUCAAAUUUCAGUGGGAGAAUAACUGGUUUCCAGAGUAAUGACCAUCUUCUGCUGCUGCUGCUGCUAAGUCGCUUCAGUUGCAUCCGACUCUGUGUGACCUCAGAGACGGCAGCCCACCAGGCUCCCCCAUCCCUGGGAUUCUCCAGGCAAGAACACUGCA
ensembl:lncRNA